CCUACGGGUGGCAGCAGUGAGGAAUAUUGGUCAAUGGGCGCUAGCCUGAACCAGCCAAGUAGCGUGAAGGAUGACUGCCCUAUGGGUUGUAAACUUCUUCUAUAUGGGAAUAAAGUGCAGUAUGUAUACUGCUUUGCAUGUACCUUAUGAAUAAGAGUCGGCUAACUCCGCGCCAGCAGCCGCGGUAAUACGGUGGAUCGGGUCGUUAGCCGGAUUUAUUGGGCUUAAAGGGAGCGUAGGCGGGUUGUUAAGUCAGUUGUGAAAGUCUGUGGCUCAACCGUAAAAUUGCAGUUGAUACUGGCAGCCUUGAGUACAGUAGAGGUAGGCGGAAUUCGUGGUGUAGCGGUGAAAUGCUUAGAGAUCACGAAGAAUACCGAUUGCGAAGGCAGCCUGCUGGACUGUAACUGACGCUGAUGCGCGAAAGUGUGGGUAGCAAACAGGAUUAGAUACCCCUGUAGUC
rnacentral:rRNA from 1 species